rnacentral:rRNA from 1 species
GACGAACGCUGGCGGCGUGCUUAACACAUGCAAGUCGAACGGAGCGAAUGAAAGCUUGCUUUUAUGAGCUUAGUGGCAAACGGGUGAGUAACACGUAGGCAACCUGCCGACAGGAUGGGGACAACAUUCCGAAAGGAAUGCUAAUACCGAAUGAAGUCAGAGAAGGGCAUCCUUUUCUGAUGAAAGAUGGCCUCUGAAUAUGCUAUCACCUGUCGAUGGGCCUGCGUCUGAUUAGCUAGUAGGUGAGGUAACGGCUCACCUAGGCGACGAUCAGUAGCCGGUCUGAGAGGAUGAACGGCCACAUUGGGACUGAGACACGGCCCAGACUCCUACGGGAGGCAGCAGUGGGGAAUCUUCCGCAAUGGGCGCAAGCCUGACGGAGCAACGCCGCGUGAGUGAAGAAGGUCUUCGGAUCGUAAAGCUCUGUUGAUGGGGACGAACGUACGGAGUGCGAAUAGUGCUUUGUAAUGACG